rfam:Basidiobolus meristosporus CBS 931.73 K493scaffold_294, whole genome shotgun sequence.
AAAUAGGCCUCUUUCGAGGCCAACAAAUCGAUUCUCGAAAUUCCAC